UGGGGAAUAUUGGACAAUGGGGGGAACCCUGAUCCAGCCAUGCCGCGUGUGUGAAGAAGGCCUUAUGGUUGUAAAGCACUUUAAGCGAGGAGGAGGCUACUGAGACUAAUACUCUUGGAUAGUGGACGUUACUCGCAGAAUAAGCACCGGCUAACUCUGUGCCAGCAGCCGCGGUAAUACAGAGGGUGCGAGCGUUAAUCGGAUUUACUGGGCGUAAAGCGUGCGUAGGCGGCUUUUUAAGUCGGANGUGAAAUCCCCGAGCUUAACUUGGGAAUUGCAUUCGAUACUGGGAAGCUAGAGUAUGGGAGAGGAUGGUAGAAUUCCAGGUGUAGCGGUGAAAUGCGUAGAGAUCUGGAGGAAUACCGAUGGCGAAGGCAGCCAUCUGGCCUAAUACUGACGCUGAGGUACGAAAGCAUGGGGAGCAAACAGGAUUAGAUACCCUGGUAGUCCAUGCCGUAAACGAUGUCUACUAGCCGUUGGGGCCUUUGAGGC
rnacentral:rRNA from 1 species